UCGAAAAUUUAUUGUAUUUACUUUAUUCAACUGGGCAAACUUGCAGCGUGUGGACGAGUUAAGAAGCUUUUUGGGGAGCCAGACGAUUUUAUAGCGAAAACCAGAUAAGCCGCCAUGUCCACGCAGCCAGCUGAGAGUGAGGAGAAUGCAGCGGCGAAGUCUAAGCGACCUUCAGAUUCGGCCUUCAAACAGCAGCGCCUGCCCGCCUGGCAGCCUGUCCUAACUGCCCGCACGGUCCUGCCUACUUUCUUUGUGAUCGGGGUGUUAUUUAUACCCAUUGGCGUAGUUCUCCUGCAUCUAAGCAACACCGCCAACGAGCUCAUCAUCGAUUACACCAAGUGCAAGCCAACGGGAGGAAAUGUUACUUGCGCGGAAUACCUGGAGGCCAACGCUGGCGGCCAGUGCACCUGUCAAGUGCCUUUCGUUCUGCCCACGGACUUUAAUGGAGUGGUGUAUAUGUACUACGGACUGACUAACUACUACCAAAACCAUCGGCGCUAUGUGAAGUCUCGAGAUGACGAGCAGCUGUUGGGUCACCUGUCGCAAACGCCUAGUUCGGAUUGCGCGCCCUACGCCUAUGAUCCCGAGUCCGGGAAGCCUAUUGCUCCUUGCGGAGCCAUAGCUAACUCGCUGUUCAAUGACACACUGACCCUGAUGCAGGCUGGCUCCGAGAUUACGCUGCUAAAGACGGGCAUUGCCUGGCCAUCGGAUAAGCGCGUCAAAUUCCGCAACCCAGAGGGCAAUCUUAACGUUUCCCUUGAGGGCUUCUCAAAGCCAAUGUUCUGGCAGAAGGGCUUGGCCGAUCUCGACCCAGAAAAUCCAGAGAACAAUGGCUUCCAGAACGAGGAUUUAAUCGUAUGGAUGCGCACCGCUGCUCUGCCCAGUUUCCGGAAGUUAUAUCGCCGGCUGAACCAAACGGACACCAAAUAUGCGAACGGCCUCAAAGCCGGCAAUUAUACGCUAGACAUUAAGUAUCAAUAUCCGGUGGUCUCGUUUGACGGCACCAAGCGCAUGAUCCUGUCGACCACAUCCGUGCUCGGUGGCAAGAAUCCCUUCUUGGGCAUUGCGUACAUUGUGGUCGGUGCCAUUUGCAUCACCCUGGGUUUGGCCCUGCUGUUUAUCCAUAUGCGAUGCAGUCGUAGCAUUAUAGUGCAUUAGGUCCGCUAAAAGUCGAGUAUUUCAUAUCCCAUUGAUGGCGCAUCAUUUCCCAUGGUCAAAUUAGCUUUGCUCGCAGCAACAUGGAGAUGAUCAACGUGAACCCGCACACGCAGUACUCCUAGACCGAGCACCGACAGCAUUCCGGGCUGCUUCACUUAGCUUUAGUAGAUCCAUCUGUUUAAGCCUUAUCAGCAUAAAGUAGUUUCUAUUGACCAACUGGCACCAUGUUUUUUGGACUACUCUUUUCUUCAUGUUUUUUGACUGUGUGCACUUGGCCAUCCGAUGAGCCGAUGGCCGGGCCUCUUGUUGUUGAUUCUAUUUUAUUUUUCCUCCAUAUGUGUGUAACCAAACUACUUGUGAUUUUUUUAUAUAACUUAUUCCGCACAUCACACACACCAAGUGUCGCCCCUUCAAGAAUCCACACGAAUUUCCACCAUUGCUUUACAAAACCACAAAGUAAUACUUUGUGUCUGACCUAAUAUGUAUUGCCUUUCACUACGUUUGUAUUCGCAAAUAAACAUUGUUAAUGGCA